rnacentral:rRNA from 1 species
GACGAACGCUGGCGGCGUGCUUAACACAUGCAAGUCGAACGGAAAGGCCCUGCUUUUGUGGGGUGCUCGAGUGGCGAACGGGUGAGUAACACGUGAGUAACCUGCCCUUGACUUUGGGAUAACUUCAGGAAACUGGGGCUAAUACCGGAUAGGAGCUCCUGCUGCAUGGUGGGGGUUGGAAAGUUUCGGCGGUUGGGGAUGGACUCGCGGCUUAUCAGCUUGUUGGUGGGGUAGUGGCUUACCAAGGCUUUGACGGGUAGCCGGCCUGAGAGGGUGACCGGCCACAUUGGGACUGGGAUACGGCCCAGACUGCUACGGGAGGCAGCAGUGGGGAAUAUUGCACAAUGGGCGGAAGCCGGAUGCAGCAACGCCGCGUGCGGGAUGACGGCCGUCGGGUUGUAAACCGCGUUCGCCUGUGACGAAGCGUGAGUGACGGUAAUGGGUAAAGAAGCACCGGCUAACUACGUG